GCCAGACUCCUACGGGAGGCAGCAGUGGGGAAUAUUGCACAAUGGGGGAAACCCUGAUGCAGCAACGCCGCGUGAGUGAAGAAGUAUUUCGGUAUGUAAAGCUCUAUCAGCAGGGAAGAAAAUGACGGUACCUGACUAAGAAGCCCCGGCUAACUACGUGCCAGCAGCCGCGGUAAUACGUAGGGGGCAAGCGUUAUCCGGAUUUACUGGGUGUAAAGGGAGCGUAGACGGCAGUGCAAGUCCGGAGUGAAAGCCCGGGGCUCAACCCUGGGACUGCUCUGGAAACUGUAAAGCUGGAGUGCGGGAGGGGCAGGCGGAAUUCCUGGUGUAGCGGUGAAAUGCGUAGAUAUCAGGAGGAACACCGGCGGCGAAGGCGGCCUGCUGGACCGUAACUGACGUUGAGGCUCGAAAGCGUGGGGAGCAAACAGGAUUAGAUACCCCGGUA
rnacentral:rRNA from 1 species